UACGUAGGGGGCAAGCGUUGUCCGGAAUCAUUGGGCGUAAAGAGCGUGUAGGCGGCUCGAUAAGUCUGCUGUGAAAGUCCAGGGCUCAACCCUGGAAGGCCGGUGGAAACUGUCGGGCUAGAGUCCGGAAGAGGCGAGUGGAAUUCCCGGUGUAGCGGUGAAAUGCGCAGAUAUCGGGAAGAACACCUAUGGCGAAGGCAGCUCUCUGGGACGGUACUGACGCUGAGACGCGAAAGCGUGGGGAGCGAACAGG
rnacentral:rRNA from 1 species